UUAUGUACAUACCUACAACAUUAUUGCACCGGAUCAUGUUAGAACUCUACAAUUAAGAAGACUUCUGCUAGAGUAGUACUAGGAUGGGGGACCUCCCGAGAAGUCCUAGUAUUUUACAUGUC
rnacentral:rRNA from 1 species